AGAACGAACGCUGGCGGCAGGCUUAACACAUGCAAGUCGAGCGCCCCGCAAGGGGAGCGGCAGACGGGUGAGUAACGCGUGGGAAUCUACCUAUCUCUACGGAACAACUCCGGGAAACUGGAGCUAAUACCGUAUACGCCCUUCGGGGGAAAGAUUUAUCGGGGAUAGAUGAGCCCGCGUUGGAUUAGCUAGUUGGUGGGGUAAUGGCCUACCAAGGCGACGAUCCAUAGCUGGUCUGAGAGGAUGAUCAGCCACACUGGGACUGAGACACGGCCCAGACUCCUACGGGAGGCAGCAGUGGGGAAUCUUGCCCAAUGGGCGCAAGCCUGAGGCAGCAACGCCGCGUGCGGGAAGAGGCCCUCGGGUUGUAAACCGCUUUCAGCAGGAACGAAAUGACGGUACCUGCAGAAGAGGUGCGGCCAACUACGUGCCAGCAGCCGC
rnacentral:rRNA from 1 species